GUGACAUCAGAAUGCUGUUGCCAUGUAGAGCACAAUUGCGCCAUGCACCUGCUCCCUGACAGGGCUACCCCUCAACCAGCCUAGGCAAUUGCCUACUUCAGCACAGAAAGCAUCCGCUCCAGAGCUGAGUACCUCUCCAAAAGAGCUUUGAAAUGCAUCACAAUCCAUGAGCAACAUCAAGAUAAAUGGGCAGCCACACCAAUGAGGAUAUGGAGUAGAGGAAAUGCUGGAAGAUAUGGAGACAUAUUAAAUUAUCAAUGAAGAAAAGAAGAUUCCUUCAGUGAGCAGUCGACCACAGGUUUGACCUCUGAUGAAAUCUCUCCUUUCACUAUUGAUGUGGACAUGCAGAGGCAAGCCUAAUGCCUCCUAAUGCCUUUGUGACCACCUCACAAGGCACCAUACUCACUUUAACAAGCACUGUUUUUAUUAAAGCUGGUUAGAAUUCCUCAUAAUUAUAGCAGGCAAGUGUCUGACCAAGUACCUGAGAAACAGAAGGCAUUAGAUCUUGCAAAUGGAGUUCUACUGUGUAUAGGAAAUGUUGAAUCAUGGCCUGAACCUCUGAUUGACCACCUGAGGCAAGCACUGAGUCAGCCGUGGAAGCACAGGUGAAGGCAGUUCACCUGUGUGACUGGAAGGGAUGGAGCCAGGCUCCACCUCUCCUAGACUGCAUUUAAGGGCUGACCACCACUGAGGAGGGAUCUAUUCCUGGAGGUUGCUCCUUGUGGAGUUUUUGUAAGCCUACAAAACCUGUGAGCACCUUUCAUUUAUAUCUGAUUAUCUUUUCCAAUAUGGCAGUCUUACUAGCCUAACUUCUCUGUAUAUUGUAUAACAUCUGUAUACUUAUUAACCGUACAUGCUGGCUGCCUUGCUUAUUUAGGAUAGCAGUGGUAUCAAUUGUAUCUGUACAGGUUUCCCAGGUAAUGUGCCUGAAAUCUGGUCUGCAAAGAUCAUCUCUAAACUUCUAAUGUGAUUCUUCACACUAACUGGCAUUGAAUAUCCUCUAUGAGCUCUGACUUAUAAGCACUAACUUGACAAUGGCUUUGAAAACAGUAAAAUUCCUGUAUUUUUCAGUGUAAAGUAAAAUAGACCAUUUGGGGCAGUCUAAGAUGGAUGAAAUAAUGAUCAUUUAGAGAUUAAUGUUAUCUAUGCUUAGGAAGACCCAAGCUUGAUCCAUUGUUAUCCAGCCUGAAGGUAGGGAUGCUGGAGGACCAAUUCUGAAGAGAACACAGGAUGGUCUGUCUUAUUUGGAGGACAAUUAAGGCUUUCUAACUGUGAUACUGGGUUUAUGAUCAUCACGCUUCACUAGUUGUGAAUUUAGUGUGAGCACAUACCACGAUCUCAAGGAUCUGUUUGAUGUAUUUUUUCAUUCUACGGAUUAUUCACUGUAAAUAUAAAUGUUUUUCUUGUCUACACAAUGUUUGUUAGCAGCAUCGGGAAAUUAGUUUCAGAAUAGUUUGCAGGUGACUGUAAAGUCAAAGAAGUAAUCAGGCUUAGGGAAAGCUCCUAGUUCAAACAUACUCAGAGCAGACACACGAUGAAACUAUGGGAGAGGGUCAUAUUGUUUCAUUUAAUAAAUAGAUUAAUUUCCCUGAUAUCUUAUACCUCUUUUAAUAAACAGAGUCAUUAUUAUAGUCUGAAAAAUUAUUCACUCAAGUUAUAUUAAAAAUGCUGUUUUCCAGAAUUUUAUUUUGAUGGCAAUCAAAAUCUAGAUUUCCUAUUCAGGUUUUGAAGAAAUCUCUCUCUGUAAUCUGGGAACAUUGUGAGUAGUGUUUGAUGUAGACAAAAGCCAUGACAGAAAGUCUUAUGUAAGUGUAAGUCUAAAAAAAUUACAGUAGAAAGACAAAAAAAUCCAGUUCUCUUGUCUGAUUUCUAAUGACCUGUGUUGGUGAAGUUCCUAUAACUGGAAAAGAAAGUCAGAUAUGAUUAAAGCCUCUGCACAAUGUUAUCUUAUUCAUAGUGCUACCGUCUCAGUUUUGAGCAAAGAAAGAGUAUCUAUUGCCAACAAUAUGUAUGAUCAAACUUUUUUUUUUUUGCCAUUUUUCUGUUUUGUUUUUGUUGAUUGGUUGUUUCUCUCUUAAAUGUUUAAGUCCUGGUUCUGUAGUGAUCUGUUCACAAGAAGAUGUGAGCGUAGAGCCCUGGAAAGUUAUCCAAGGCCACCUAUGCAGGGAACCUGUGUGGACUCAUUGCUGGAAUGGAGGCUUAUGUUGAUAUAAAACCAUUCAUGGAACUUCUAUUCAUGUUCAUGUCAGCAUAUCCUCAAAUGAUUAUCAGUGUAAUGUUCAAUGCAAUCCUCAAAUAUAAAGCUUGGACACUUAGUCUAUAUGCCUUCAGAUUAUUCCUUGGUGUUAACUUUCACAUUUUCUUUAUUAUAGGGAAGUGUGAAUGCCAUCUAACCAUGGUACUUGCAAAAGGUUGUUUCAAAAACUUGUAUUUAUUCUACCCAUUUUACCACUUUUUCAUUUGAAGUACUAAGUCUUCAUUUCUCUGUCUCUGCUAGGAGCUUUGUCCCUUGGGAAAUACUUUUAAAAUGUAAAUGAGCUAUUAGAUCUAUCACCUCUCUCAAUAGAAGUAUGUUGCACACUUAUGAACGAAAGAUGGUGUAUCAGAGAGCUGGGACAAUGCUAUUAUUUAAUUAUUAGAAUGAUUAGAAACUAGCUGACAUUUUUGACUGAAUUUCUACUCUUCUACAUGUAUAGAGGCAGAGUGAAAAAACUUUCAUAUUCAUCAAUAUUUGUGGUUUUUUUAACAUUAAUACUUACAGUGAUUAUGUCAAACUACAAAAUAGUUCAAUCACCUUCAAUACUUAAAUUUGUUUGUGCCAGGUAGCAAAAUUAAGUACUUUUCAAAUUCCUUAUUAAAAAAACAAUUGAGUGUAUAUGCACAUAUGAAAAUUCCAGUGGAAUGGCUGUCCAGACAGAGGGACCUAUGUGCUUGAUUGCUUUAACUCCAGGCUGCUUUCUGCCACUUAGGUCAUUUACAGAGAAAGUCUGUUUUACCAGUCUUCAUUUGUGACCACUCUCCACUGGUCAGGUCUUCAGAGUAGAUUAAGGGCUGCAUUAAAUUGUUAAAAAAAAUUUUACUAGUUCUCUAGAGUAGAAGUAUCUAAUGCUCACGGCUGCUGUCUGCAGUGCAUCAAGAUGUAUGGGCAGUGCCAGACCAAUGAUGGCAGCAGAUAAAGAAUAGUCUGGAGGAGAAUGCUGCUAACAACUUUUAUGAAUCUUUGAAGUAUCUGCCUAGGGCAGUAGCAUAUGGGAGUGUGUCACACUCUUAGGAUAGAGGCUGAAGUGCAAGGCCGAAUCAAGGAAUUACCCUAGUGACUCUGAUGUCCCACAGCAUCAGUGCUGCAUCCCAGCUCCUUCCUCACUCUCUGUAAUACAGCAUGCCAGGCAUCCACCCUCCCAUCCCAACAGCUUGGACUGGUAUGUAUGAUGAUGGAAAGAGACAGAGGUCCAGGGACUGAUUUGCAGAUAGGAGCUAAAAUUUUGUACUGUAUACUCCAUUGUCUGAGGCUCAAGGAUGACAAGCUUGCUAACUCAAAGACAGAAAGCAGCUUGUCCCCAUCUAGUUACCCUCAUGUUGGUUUACACUGGUGUCUGCAUUUUAUGUUCAGGACUCAUGCAGUACAAAUAUACAGAUAGCUGCCAUUGUCAUUUUUCUUGCAUGCUGUGUAUGUGUGUUUUUGGUAACCUCCACAGAGAAGCCACUGUGAAGCCAGUCUAGACACUAUCUCCAUUUUUCAUCUUUGUAGUUCACUCCAACAGCCAUAAGCUUGGUCGUAAGUGAGGUAAGAUUGGAGGAAAGAUUCUAGUUGAGACUUUUUUUCAAUAGAGAAAUCUACAUCUUUGACAAUGCUGAGAUCAGUGGUCUCCUAGAAUCAGGGUAUUUCCUGAAAGCAGCAGUUUGACCCUCAAUGACUUUGAACAGAAGGGCUCUAGCUGAGUGUGUCUAUCCAGAAGAAAUAGCCACUGCACUCAGCAUUGUCAGGAUUAGGCCUUAGAUAAUUGUCUGGUAGCCUGGAGGCUUGUGUCACAUUUUGAUACCGUCCCUGCUGAUUUUCUUGACCUCAUUGCUCUCUUUUUGUAGAAACACCAAAUGUGUAAUUUGGCUCAUUUACUUAUAAGGUAUUAAGGACUAAUGAUAGAAAGGUCCUUUUUUCUUCUGUAAAAAAAAAAAAAACAAAAAAAACAAGCAGCUGGAAAAUAGGUAAAUGCUCCUUAGAGUGUCUACGAUUACACAGCUGAGAAGCACUGCUGACCCUUGCAUCACUUCAAUGGUCACAGCUGUAUCCUCUGCUAAUGAAAAAAACAAAUGCUCUUUCCUUCUUGUGCUGUCCUCUGGAAUCAGAGAAGAAUAUAGGAAAUAGCGUUAAAAUAACUUCUGCGUUUUUCAAGUUUUUGUUAUGUUGAAAGCUGAUGAGUGUUUGCAAUUUCAAAGAGCUUUUGAGUGUCUAAGCAGUGAAACACAGGUUUUUUUUUUUCUUCUACAUUUAGUACGUCAAGCCUGCCUAAGCAAUUUAGUUCUUUUUACAGCUUUUCUGAAAAAUGGUUGCAAUCUGUGUGAUGGGUGGGUGGGAAGCAAGAAAAGUAGUUGGGGAAUUUUGCUGUUACAGCUCUGCCUGUUUUGUAGGCUUUGAUUGCAGUUUAUUGCAGAGACAAAUCUCUAAGAUUUAAUAAGAGAAGAUUAAUUUUAUUGAUAUUUAAUAUAACAGUUGCUAUCAUUCACCCAUGCUGAAUUCUAAACACUUUUUGAGAAUUCUGGCCCCUGAGCUGUGGCCAACUAAUUUUAAUUCCCCAUGGAUGGCAUUGGGCAUUGAUGUCUAUUGGAGAGAUAUGGCACAUGAGAGAAACAUAGGAAAGUAAUUAUACCUAACUGAGCAAUUUUUACCAAUGUCUGAUCCCAGGGGAGACCACUAUUACUACUUUGUUGUUUGUUUUCAGAAUACUACAGAAGGCCAAAUAUUAAUAGGAACUGCAAAAAAGACGCCCAUUUUUAGAAAUUACUGAAUAUGGAAAUAGGCAGCACUGCUGCAGUAGCUUGUCUUGACUGGUCUGUGCCAGGAAACUCAUGGUAUCAUACCCUCUUUGGAAAAACAGUUGUCAAACCAAGCUACAAUUUUCAGCACUAGAGACUAAUCACUUCUACUGUGUGAAUCAACCUGCUGCAAGCACCAACAACUGAUAUCGUGGAUGAAUGACAUCAGAGAGUAGCACUUGAGCAACUGCAAGACCCACUGGAUGAGAAUGGGAAUCAACAAGAGCACUUACUAUUUACAAAGUGUCAGAGCAGAAAUUUUGAUAUCUACUAACGAAAUUUGCAACUAAGACUCAACGCUUACUUGAGAACAACCUGCUAUUGUAGCAAUGAAGGCACUAUCUCACAAAAUAAACCCCACUGAAGAUACAUGUGCAACUUGAAUGCAAGGAUAACAGAGCACUGCGCUGAGAUUCUUUAACUGACAGGUGUCUGCUUCAUUAGAUAUCUGCAUAAUAAACUGUAGCAGUUACCAUAAUUCCAUCAGAGAAUUAAUGUGCUGAGAGUUGGAGAUUCUUUGGACCCUGGAGAAAAUUUCUUCAAUCUACAGUAGUGGCAAAUGGAGAAGUCGUAAGGGAGAUAUCUGCAGUGCUACUGCCUGUACUCUAUUUCUCAAUGGUCAACGUGGUUCAAUUUCCAGCUAGGACAUAAUUUGCACAAUAACCUGAAGUUGAAAUUAAUACUAAGAAACAAGCUGUACUGUGUGUAAGAAAAAUCCAUUAAGCUGUCUGCAUUAGAGGAAGAAGCUGACCAAUGGAGUUGAAGCAAAUGUGUUAUACCGUAAGAAGAAAGGUUCAGACAAAUAUCACAGGAACCAGGAUGACACUCCAAUAAGGGGGCAGCAGAGGGGCAGUCUGACAAAAUGGCAUAUGACAUGGAAGUGCAUAUGAAGCAAAGGUGAGUAAUUGACUUUCUCUAUAUGGAAGAAAUGGCACCCACUGACAUUCAUUGACACUUGCUGAAUAUUUAUGGAGAUAAACAGUUAAGGUGAGCACAGUGAGGCAGUGGGUGGUGUGUUUCAGCAGUAGCAACAGCAAUAUGAAAAACAAGCCACAUUCUGGAUGGGCUUGUGUAGCUGAAACAACUCAAAAUGAAAAUCUCAU